GGGGGAUUGUAAUACGAUCAAGGAGGAGAAUGAUAUGAGAAUGCAAAGGACACUUGCAUUCCAAUCUAUAAGCUUAAGGACCUCAGUAGAGCUUUGUUUGACUUUGGCUCUUCCACCGAAGAUAAAGAGAGUGUUUUACAUGUGAAGCUGGCUUAGGAAACUACAGAUGAGUUUGCUGCAGUAUUACAAGUCACUGAGCCAUCUAAAACAAGGUGAGGAAACAUAGACUUGGCUGGCUUUGAC